rnacentral:lncRNA from 1 species
UGUAGCUUAUCUUGUCAUCUGGUCCUCCUCCAAAAUCAAUGGCUCACAGAUGAAUCCUACGAGGAAGAAGAGAGUGAAAGAGGAGUAGUAGGUUUAUGCUCCUUACCUCACUCUCCUUCCUUGGGGUGAGGAUGAUGAUGAAAUGAAGCUUGCUUGGGACUCUAUUCGAUGGAUCGAGAAAAUCAAGGAACUUCUUCUGGACUGGCGGGGCUAGAUUGGUUGCUCUGCCUCAAGCACCUCGAGGGAGGAGGAAGAUCAAGACAUACUGGGGCUAGAUAAUUGCUCGGCAUCGGAAUAAGCUAAUGGGUUAAUUGUUGCAGAUUGCGCACUAUGGUGGUCAACGUUUGCACCUACUGCAAGAGUUGCUGGAACUGUUCGGAGGUGACAAUUGGGGUGUUCGGCAUCUCCAAAACAUUAAGAUCUUGGUGGCCCUGAUUGGGCUCAAUGGAUUCCACAGGCACU